rnacentral:rRNA from 1 species
CAUAUUAGUAAGCGGAGGAAAAGAAACUAACCAGGAUUCCCUUAGUAGCUGCGAGCGAACAGGGAAGAGCCCAGCACUGAAUCCCCGAGGCCUAGCUUCGAGGGAAAUGUGGUGUUUGGGAGGGUUCAUAUACCUGAUACUGCUGCACCGCGUCCAAGUCCAUCUUGAAUGAGGCCACGGUCCCGAGAGGGUGCCAGGCCCGUAGCUGGCCGGUGCUGGUGUUGGGUGAACCUCUCCUUAGAGUCAGGUUGCUUGAGAGUGCAGCCCUAAGCGGGUGGUAAACUCCAUCUAAGGCUAAAUACAACCACGAGACCGAUAGCGAACAAGUACCGUGAGGGAAAGUUGAAAAGAACUUUGAAGAGAGAGUUCAAGAGUACGUGAAACCGCUCAGGGGUAAACGGAAAAGACCCGAAAUUUCCGAAAGGGGAGAUUCACGUCUUCUCGCUGGCUCGACUCCUUGUCCAUUGUCGACGGUUCUAUGCCUCAUUCGAACUCGUUCGGAGCGAGUGGUGGAGCCGCACUGGUCGAGGAUGUAGGGUCGCGGCAGACCGCACUUCUCCCCUAGUAGGACGUCGUGACCCGUCCGAUCAUGGUCUAAGAGUGUGUUUGGGAGCCUGUUUGUGUUGUUUCGGCAAUUCACGAGCAGACCUUCGCAUUUCUGGCCAUGAAUGCUUCGGUCGGUAUCAAAAGACAGUGUUGGAUCGCUCUGCGGAGGGAGAAAUCCUUCUUCGAGAGCGCGAUUGGUCCUUGGCAAGGUAGUGAGUCGCGUUAGUCAAGACGGGCCUACGUCCGUCUGACUGCUCUCGCUCCUGUUGGUCGAGGUACUCUAUCGCCGGGUCAAUUUUUUAUGGGCACUAGUUCUACGGCGAAAUCAGUUUUUGGGGCUCUUGUUCCGACCCCGGUCUUGAAAACACGGGACCAAGGGAGUUUAGCGUGUGUGCGAGUCAUUGAGUGUAAAAACUCAAAGGCGAAAUGAAAGUGAAGGGAACUUUACGUUUCUGAGGGAAGAUGAGACGGUUUCUUUUCCAAGAGCCUCUCCGCACUCCCGGGGCGUCUCUAUCUCAUUGCGAGAGGAGGCGCACCUAUAGCAUACACGCUGAUACCCGAAAGAUGGUGAACUAUGCCUGGCCAGGACGAAGCCAGGGGAAACCCUGGUGGAGGUCCGCAGCGAUUCUGACGUGCAAAUCGAUUAAACUAUGAAGCCAAGGGGUUUCGGAUCAGAGUGCCAAGUGGGCCAAUUUUGGUAAGCAGAACUGGCGCUGUGGGAUGAACCAAACGCCGGAGUUAAGGCGCCUCAAUCGACGCUCAUGUGAGACCAUGAAAGGCGUUGGUUGCUUAAGACAGCAGGACGGUGGCCAUGGAAGUCGGAAUCCGCUAAGGAGUGUGUAACAACUCACCUGCCGAAGCAACUAGCCCUGAAAAUGGAUGGCGCUGUAGCGUCGUGCCUAUACUCCGCCGUCAACGGCAACGCAGGCAGUCCUCUCACGGGGACGGCGCUGUUAAGCCUUGACGAGUAAGAGGGCCGCGGCGAUGUGCGCAGAAGGGUUUUGGGCGUGAGCCUGCCUGGAGCCGUCGUCGGUGCAGAUCUUGGUGGUAGUAGCAAAUACUCCAGCGAGGCCCUGGAGGACUGAUGUGGAGAAGGGUUUCAUGUGAACAGCUGUUGCACAUGAGUCAGUCGAUCCUAAGCCCUAGGAGAAAUCCGAAGCGAUGGGUUGCCGUUAAACGUUAACAAGCUUGAUGUUGGCACCAUUUGGGCGAAAGGGAAUCUGGUUCCUAUUCCAGAACCUGGCAGUGGAACCGUUCCAAAUCGGGCCCUCAUUGAGGACUCGUCAGGGCAACCUGAAAGGACCCGGAGACGCCGUCGGGAGAUUCAGGGAGAGUUGUCUCUUCUCUAUAAGCGAUCGAGUUCCCUGGAAACCUCUAGCAGGGAGAUAGGGUUUGGAUCGCGAAGAGCACCGCAGUUACGGCGGUGUCUGAAUCUUCCCCACGGACCUUGAAAAUCCGGGAGAGGGCCACGAGGAAACCCCACGCCAGAUCGUACCCAUAUCCGCAGCAGGUCUCCAAGGUGAAAAGCCUCUAGUCG